GCGAGUUCCACUCUGCGAUAGUUCUACAUGUAGGAAAGAAUGAAUAUUCUUAAACACCUCAAUCCUUGGUUGAUGACUCUGGUACUUGAAGGCAUGGCUAUUUCUUGUUCUCUUCUGAGCUGGUAUUAGGUACAUAUAAUUAGUAAUUGGGACGUCCACCAUUUUAUUAGUCAUUUUCUACAUCAUGCAUAGUCUGGCAUGAUCAACAGCCUUACAACCUACACUACAAAUCAGACUGCGUUUCUGUUUGCGUUUGCCAGCGCUCAUCAAAUCAGGAACAAGUUUUCUACUCAAGUGUUGUAAUUCUAUCACACCUAACUCUGAACCAUGGCAAAGCAAAU